GGGUUGUGAGGUUAAGCGACUAAGCGUACACGGUGGAUGCCCUGGCAGUCAGAGGCGAUGAAGGACGUGCUAAUCUGCGAUAAGCGUCGGUAAGGUGAUAUGAACCGUUAUAACCGGCGAUUUCCGAAUGGGGAAACCCAGUGUGAUUCGUCACACUAUCAUUAACUGAAUCCAUAGGUUAAUGAGGCGAACCGGGGGAACUGAAACAUCUAAGUACCCCGAGGAAAAGAAAUCAACCGAGAUUCCCCCAGUAGCGGCGAGCGAACGGGGAGCAGCCCAGAGCCUGAAUCAGUGUGUGUGUUAGUGGAAGCGUCUGGAAAGGCGCGCGAUACAGGGUGACAGCCCCGUACACAAAAAUGCACAUACUGUGAGCUCGAUGAGUAGGGCGGGACACGUGGUAUCCUGUCUGAAUAUGGGGGACCAUCCUCCAAGGCUAAAUACUCCUGACUGACCGAUAGUGAACCAGUACCGUGAGGGAAAGGCGAAAAGAACCCCGGCGAGGGGAGUGAAAAGAACCUGAAACCGUGUACGUACAAGCAGUGGGAGCACGCUUAGGCGUGUGACUGCGUACCUUUUGUAUAAUGGGUCAGCGACUUAUAUUCUGUAGCAAGGUUAACCGAAUAGGGGAGCCGAAGGGAAACCGAGUCUUAACUGGGCGUUAAGUUGCAGGGUAUAGACCCGAAACCCGGUGAUCUAGCCAUGGGCAGGUUGAAGGUUGGGUAACACUAACUGGAGGACCGAACCGACUAAUGUUGAAAAAUUAGCGGAUGACUUGUGGCUGGGGUGAAAGGCCAAUCAAACCGGGAGAUAGCUGGUUCUCCCCGAAAGCUAUUUAGGUAGCGCCUCGUGAAUUCAUCUCCGGGGGUAGAGCACUGUUUCGGCAAGGGGGUCAUCCCGACUUACCAACCCGAUGCAAACUGCGAAUACCGGAGAAUGUUAUCACGGGAGACACACGGCGGGUGCUAACGUCCGUCGUGAAGAGGGAAACAACCCAGACCGCCAGCUAAGGUCCCAAAGUCAUGGUUAAGUGGGAAACGAUGUGGGAAGGCCCAGACAGCCAGGAUGUUGGCUUAGAAGCAGCCAUCAUUUAAAGAAAGCGUAAUAGCUCACUGGUCGAGUCGGCCUGCGCGGAAGAUGUAACGGGGCUAAACCAUGCACCGAAGCUGCGGCAGCGACGCUGAUGCGUUGUUGGGUAGGGGAGCGUUCUGUAAGCCUGUGAAGGUGUGCUGUGAGGCAUGCUGGAGGUAUCAGAAGUGCGAAUGCUGACAUAAGUAACGAUAAAGCGGGUGAAAAGCCCGCUCGCCGGAAGACCAAGGGUUCCUGUCCAACGUUAAUCGGGGCAGGGUGAGUCGACCCCUAAGGCGAGGCCGAAAGGCGUAGUCGAUGGGAAACAGGUUAAUAUUCCUGUACUUGGUGUUACUGCGAAGGGGGACGGAGAAGGCUAUGUUGGUCGGGCGACGGUUGUCCCGGUUUAAGCGUGUAGGCUGGUUUUCCAGGCAAAUCCGGAAAAUCAAGGCUGAGGCGUGAUGACGAGGCACUACGGUGCUGAAGCAACAAAUGCCCUGCUUCCAGGAAAAGCCUCUAAGCAUCAGGUAACAUCAAAUCGUACCCCAAACCGACACAGGUGGUCAGGUAGAGAAUACCAAGGCGCUUGAGAGAACUCGGGUGAAGGAACUAGGCAAAAUGGUGCCGUAACUUCGGGAGAAGGCACGCUGAUAUGUAGGUGAAGCGACUUGCUCGUGGAGCUGAAAUCAGUCGAAGAUACCAGCUGGCUGCAACUGUUUAUUAAAAACACAGCACUGUGCAAACACGAAAGUGGACGUAUACGGUGUGACGCCUGCCCGGUGCCGGAAGGUUAAUUGAUGGGGUCAGCGCAAGCGAAGCUCUUGAUCGAAGCCCCGGUAAACGGCGGCCGUAACUAUAACGGUCCUAAGGUAGCGAAAUUCCUUGUCGGGUAAGUUCCGACCUGCACGAAUGGCGUAAUGAUGGCCAGGCUGUCUCCACCCGAGACUCAGUGAAAUUGAACUCGCUGUGAAGAUGCAGUGUACCCGCGGCAAGACGGAAAGACCCCGUGAACCUUUACUAUAGCUUGACACUGAACAUUGAGCCUUGAUGUGUAGGAUAGGUGGGAGGCUUUGAAGUGUGGACGCCAGUCUGCAUGGAGCCGACCUUGAAAUACCACCCUUUAAUGUUUGAUGUUCUAACGUUGACCCGUAAUCCGGGUUGCGGACAGUGUCUGGUGGGUAGUUUGACUGGGGCGGUCUCCUCCUAAAGAGUAACGGAGGAGCACGAAGGUUGGCUAAUCCUGGUCGGACAUCAGGAGGUUAGUGCAAUGGCAUAAGCCAGCUUGACUGCGAGCGUGACGGCGCGAGCAGGUGCGAAAGCAGGUCAUAGUGAUCCGGUGGUUCUGAAUGGAAGGGCCAUCGCUCAACGGAUAAAAGGUACUCCGGGGAUAACAGGCUGAUACCGCCCAAGAGUUCAUAUCGACGGCGGUGUUUGGCACCUCGAUGUCGGCUCAUCACAUCCUGGGGCUGAAGUAGGUCCCAAGGGUAUGGCUGUUCGCCAUUUAAAGUGGUACGCGAGCUGGGUUUAGAACGUCGUGAGACAGUUCGGUCCCUAUCUGCCGUGGGCGCUGGAGAACUGAGGGGGGCUGCUCCUAGUACGAGAGGACCGGAGUGGACGCAUCACUGGUGUUCGGGUUGUCAUGCCAAUGGCACUGCCCGGUAGCUAAAUGCGGAAGAGAUAAGUGCUGAAAGCAUCUAAGCACGAAACUUGCCCCGAGAUGAGUUCUCCCUGACUCCUUGAGAGUCCUGAAGGAACGUUGAAGACGACGACGUUGAUAGGCCGGGUGUGUAAGCGCAGCGAUGCGUUGAGCUAACCGGUACUAAUGAACCGUGAGGCUUAACCUUACAACGCCGAAG
rnacentral:rRNA from 1 species